rnacentral:SRP_RNA from 1 species
AACGGGUCCCCUCGCAACGAUAGAUGGUAAAUUCCGCCAGGCCUGGAAGGGAGCAACGGUAGCUAUCGACUCGUGUGCCGGGGUGUGGCUGGUUGGG